GGUCUUGUAUUCAUAAUAUGAUUUUAAAUUGCAAGUUUAAAGGUGUUAAAAUAAACUAAGGCUU
rnacentral:tRNA from 1 species